UUUUAAAUAAAUUCUGCUCAAUGAAAUAAAAAUUAAAUAGCUGCAGUAAUUUCACUGUACUAAGGUAGCGUAAUAAUUUGUUUUUUAAUUAAAAACUAGAAUGAAUGGUAACAUGAAAAAUUAACUAUUUAAUUUAUUUAAGAGUAAAAAUUAAUGUUUAAGUAAAAAAUCUUAGAUAUUAUAAAAAGACAAGAAGACCCUUUAGAAUUUCAUGAGAAGCAAUUUAAAUUUAAAUUAGAACUCAUUAAAUUGGGGAGAUUGCAAAUAAGAAUUAACAUUUAAUUGUUUAAUAUACUAAUUAGUAUUUUAAAUUCAGCUAUCCAAAUAAAUAAUGAAAAAAAACCAAAUUACCUAAGGGAUAACAGCGUAAAAUUUUUAGAAAGUUCAAAUUUAUAAAAUAAAUUACGACCUCGAUGUUGGAUUAAGCA
rnacentral:rRNA from 1 species